rnacentral:rRNA from 1 species
GACGAACGCUGGCGGCGUGCUUAACACAUGCAAGUCGAACGGGAAGGCCCUGCUUUUGUGGGGGGCUCGAGUGGCGAACGGGUGAGUAACACGUGAGUAACCUGCCCUUGACUUUGGGAUAACUUCAGGAAACUGGGGCUAAUACCGGAUAGGAGCUCCUGCUGCAUGGUGGGGGGUGGAAAGUUUUGGCGGUUGGGGAUGGACUCGCGGCUUAUCAGCUUGUUGGUGGGGUAGCGGCUUACCAAGGCUUUGACGGGUAGCCGGCCUGAGAGGGUGACCGGCCACAUUGGGACUGAGAUACGGCCCAGACUCCUACGGGAGGCAGCAGUGGGGAAUAUUGCACAAUGGGCGGAAGCCUGAUGCAGCAACGCCGCGUGCGGGAUGACGGCCUUCGGGUUGUAAACCGCUUUCGCCUGUGACGAAGCGUGAGUGACGGUAAUGGGUAAAGAAGCACCGGCUAACUACGUG